rnacentral:rRNA from 1 species
GGGGUGAAAGGCUAAUCAAACUUGGAGAUAGCUCGUACUCCCCGAAAUGCAUUUAGGUGCAGCCUUGUGAGUUACUAAUGUGAGGUAGAGCGACUGAUAAGAUGCGAGGGCUUCACCGCCUAUCAAGUCUUGAUAAACUCCGAAUGCGCAUUAGUUCUAUCACAGGAGUGAGGGCAUGGGUGCUAAGGUCCAUGUCCUAAAGGAGAAGAAUCCAGACCAUCAGCUAAGGUCCCCAAAUAAACACUAAGUUGAACUAACGAAGUCAGAUUGCUAAGACAGCUAGGAUGUUGGCUUGGAAGCAGCCAUUCAUUUAAAGAGUGCGUAACAGCUCACUAGUCGAGGAGUUUGGCGUGGAUAAUAAUCGGGCAUUAAGUGUUUUACCGAAGCUAUGGGAUCAGUAAUGAUCGGUAGGGGAGCAUUCCACUCUGCGUCGAAGGUGAAGCGUGAGCUUUGCUGGAGCGUGUGGAAAAGCAAAUGUAGGUAUAAGUAACGAUAAAGGGGGUGAGAAACCCCCUCGCCGAAAGACUAAGGUUUCCUGAUCAACGCUAAUCGGAUCAGGGUUAGUCGGGUCCUAAGGCUCAGCCGAACGGUGAGGCCGAUGGCAGAACAGGUUAAUAUUCCUGUACUACCUUAAGGAGUGACGUGGAGACGGAGGAGUGAUAGCGCCGCGGACUGACGGAAUAGUCCGUUGAAGGGUGUAGAUGUUGAUCUUUGCAGGCAAAUCCACAAAGAGAGUCGAACCUGAUAGUAUACCAAAUUCUUCGGAAUAAGGUAAUAGUGCGUGUAAGCAUACUCCCAAGAAAAUCCGCUAAACUUAAUCUUUAAGGUACCCGUACCGCAAACGGACACACGUAGUCGGGUUGAAUAUACUAAGGCGCUUGAGUGAUUCACGGUUAAGGAACUAGGCAAAUUGACCCUGUAACUUCGGGAUAAAGGGUCCCAACGAGAGUUGGGCGCAGAGAAUAGGUCCAGGCAACUGUUUAACAAAAACACAGGGCUGUGCCAAAUUGAAAGAUUACGUAUACAGCCUGACACCUGCCCGGUGCUGGAAGGUUAAGAGGAGAUGUCAUCGCAAGAGAAGCAUUGAAUUGAAGCCCCAGUAAACGGCGGCCGUAACUAUAACGGUCCUAAGGUAGCGAAAUUCCUUGUCGGGUAAGUUCCGACCUGCACGAAUGGUGUAAUGAUCUGGACACUGUCUCAACCGUGAGCUCAGUGAAAUUGUAGUAUCGGUGAAGAUGCCGAUUACCCGCGAUGGGACGAAAAGACCCCGUGAACCUUUACUAUAGCUUAUCAUUGAAUCUGGGCACGUGAUGUGUAGGAUAGGUCGGAGGCUUUGAAGGGGGUACGCCAGUAUCCUUGGAGCCGCUGUUGAAAUACGACCCUUCAUUUGUUUGGAUUCUAACCCGUGUAUAUGGGGACACUGAUUGGUGGGUAGUUUGACUGGGGUGGUCGCCUCCAAAAGCGUAACGGAGGCUUCUAAAGGUGCCCUCA